AGAGUUUGAUCAUGGCUCAGAGCGAACGCUGGCGGCAGGCUUAACACAUGCAAGUCGAACGGACGUAGCAAUACGUCAGUGGCAGACGGGUGAGUAACACGUGGGAACGUGCCCUUCGGUUCGGAACAACCCAGGGAAACUUGGGCUAAUACCGGAUACGUCCGCAAGGAGAAAGAUUUAUCGCCGAAGGAUCGGCCCGCGUCUGAUUAGCUUGUUGGUGAGGUAACGGCUCACCAAGGCGACGAUCAGUAGCUGGUCUGAGAGGAUGAUCAGCCACACUGGGACUGAGACACGGCCCAGACUCCUACGGGAGGCAGCAGUGGGGAAUAUUGGACAAUGGGCGCAAGCCUGAUCCAGCCAUGCCGCGUGGGUGAUGAGGGCCUUAGGGUUGUAAAGCCCUUUCGGCGGGGAAGAUAAUGACGGUACCCGCAGAAGAAGCCCCGGCUAACUUCGUGCCAGCAGCCGCGGUAAUACGAAGGGGGUUAGCGUUGCUCGGAAUCACUGGGCGUAAAGCGCACGUAGGCGGGUUGUUAAGUCAGGGGUGAAAUCCUGGAGCUCAACUCCAGAACUGCCUUUGAUACUGGCGACCUUGAGUCCGGGAGAGGUGAGUGGAAUUGCGAGUGUAGAGGUGAAAUUCGUAGAUAUUCGCAAGAACACCAGUGGCGAAGGCGGCUCACUGGCCCGGUACUGACGCUGAGGUGCGAAAGCGUGGGGAGCAAACAGGAUUAGAUACCCUAGUAGUCC
rnacentral:rRNA from 1 species